CGCCACAAAGCUGACUUGGAGACACCACCUAGAUCAAGUCGAACUCUUCAUUGUGUGGCUCCUCUUCGACCACCUGUCCUUCUACUGUGGGGGUGUGAGACAACAAGGAUGAGCUCACAUACGUUCAUAGCUCAACAAGUUGUGGGGAAUAAUGUGCAUGAACUCACCAAAGGUGGGAGUAAUGUGAUGUGUAAGGCUGAUCAACAAAAUAAAGGUUGAAGCUGAGCAUUGCUUUUAUAAGCUGGUCAAUUUUUAUUAGCAGUUAUUAAGUGUAAGUGUAUACCAAACCAUAGUAAUAAUAAGUAAAAGUAAUAAUAAAACAAUCUCAAUGCGAUGCAAAUGACAAAUUGAAUUUUAAUUCCAUAAAUUAAUCAUGUGAGGGUCCGAGCUGCUCAUGACCGUGAGCACGACUAGUAUACUAGUUUUACACUCUGCAGAGGUUGCGCAUCUUUACCCACAAGUCAUGUUACCCAUCUACCAAGAGACGACCAAUCCCAUACACCUCUACCGAGGAGGCGAGGCAGGAUAACACUAUGAGGCCUUUACAAAGUUCCACUAGCUUCAGAAAACCCGCUACAGUUUAUAGGAAGCUCCAGUGCAGGGAUCCCUCGCCUGACCGCCAUCGCAGUAAAAUCAACCCAAGGACCCCCCUACACUGACCACUCCCCUACUGCCCUUGCCCCUAUCGGGUAAGGUAGUCAUCCACUAGCUUUACUAGUUAAUCAGCCAAGGGCAUCCCAUACCACCCUUGUGGUAGCACUGUUUUCCCGGGUGGUCGCUCCAUGUUCCCAUUAACAUAAUAAUCUUAACAUGAACAGUAGUAAUAAACUAAUAAUAAAAGUGCGAUCAUGAAUAAUGUAUCUCCAUACCCAAACACCACAUAAAGCAAUAGCAAGUACUACCCAAAACGUUUAGUGGAGUCAAGGUAUAAAGAUAAUCAAGCUAGGGUAAAAAGAUUCCAUCAAAAUUAACCUAUGCAGAUCAUUAUGAUUAAUAAGAACAUGACUAGGUAAAAAAAGAGGUGAUCAAGGGCACAACUUGCCUUCAACGAGCUCCUACUCAACAACUUCUAUCUGCUGAACCCCCGACUCCUCAGUGGCUUGCUCGUCUACUCGCAUCAAUAGAAACAUACAUAGUAUAGCAAAAAUUAACAUCACACCAAACAUGUAAACAAAAUACAUAAUAAUAAUUUACACAUUAAAAUAAGAUCAUAGGGACAUGAAUCGUUAAUUUUGGGGUUAUAGAUUUUAAGUUAUGAAUUUCCAAAGGUUUUAUGUGGCUUGUACAUGAUUAAUUAAGAAAUAAAUUUUAUUACUAUUUUCAUGUCAAAACAGGGACUCUAGGUGAUAAACAAUAAUAUUACAAAAUUAUAGGAACUGGAGUGGAUCAAUUUGGACUUCAUAUGGAUUUUAUAUGAAUUAAACAAGUUCUAGGAAUUGUUUUUAUAUUAAAAACUCAUUUAUGUAAUUAAUUAACUAAUUCCUCGGGUUUCUGGACUGUGCGCCAAAAUUAGAUAACAACAGGGGUCUCUGCGCAAAUUGUCUUAAGACUCAGACGCCCCUAAUAUGGACGGCGGGUUUAUUUCCUGAAAAUAGAGGGUCUCUUACGCAAUUUUACUGGGCUGAAGGGGUAUACAGGGUUUCUGACCGUUGGAUCAGAAUCACGCACACCAGAUUACACAACCCAUUUAAUCGAAGCGGUAAGAAAUCUCCAUCGUUGGAUCCGCGACCAAGCGUCUAGAUUUAAAAAUCCCAAGAUCGCUUGCCACGCGCCCGAUCCGCAUCGGACGACCGAAAUGAAUUUAGGCCAAAUCGGUAUCUAGCAUCUAAUCAAGGCCGUUCGCCAAAGGAUCGACGACCGAGAUCGUCCACCUCCCCUGGUGACAAAACGCGGCGGCGGCGGUCGGCUCCCGCGGUGGCGCCAUGGGUGAAGCCCACCCGAGUUCGAGCUCUAGGUCUAAACUUAUCACCGGGAUGCGGCAAACGAUGCAGAGAUAAAUGCGACUUCGUUAGAGGGAUACUCACUGUGACUUCACCCGCAGAGACACCCUGCCCACGGCGUUGCGACGAAGAGGAUCUUCGGCGAGCAAUUACGGGUCGCAAGACCAUCGAUUCUGCCCGCAAACACCACGGAUGGCUUCGCACUAGCACGGCGCAGGACCCCGACCCGAUCCUAGGUUUCGGAUGGCGGCGGGGAAGAGGGUCCGCGGCAGCGCGGGUCGUCUAGAUGCGGAUUCGCCGCCUUCUCUCUCUCGCUACUUCGGUAGUGGUCGUGAAGAUAGG
rnacentral:lncRNA from 1 species